rnacentral:rRNA from 1 species
CCUACGGGAGGCAGCAGUGAGGAAUAUUGGUCAAUGGGCGGAAGCCUGAACCAGCCAAGUAGCGUGCGGGAUGAAGGCCCUACGGGUCGUAAACCGCUUUUGCACGGGGAUAACACCCUCCACUUGUGGAGGUCUGCAGGUACCGUGCGAAUAAGGGCCGGCUAAUUCCGUGCCAGCAGCCGCGGUAAUACGGAAGGCCCGAGCGUUAUCCGGGUUCAUUGGGCUUAAAGGGAGCGUAGGCGGGCGUUCAAGUCAGCUGUAAAAGCGCUCGGCUAAACCGCGCCCCGCAGUUGAAACUGGACGCCUUGAGUUCACAACAGGCAGGCGGAAUUCGUGGUGUAGCGGUGAAAUGCAUAGAUAUCACGAGGAACCCCGAUUGCGAAGGCAGCCUGCCGGGGUGCGACUGACGCUGAGGCUCGAAGGUGCGGGUAUCAAACAGGAUUAGAUACCCUAGUAGUC